AGUCCUCGGCAAGGCAUGCGAUUGCUUGCCCUAUGCCGUUAGACACGACCUGCAAAGAAUGCACAAGAAAUUAUAUUCCCUUCCUACCUUGUUUUUGAUAUGUAAAGAAAGCUUUGUUUGUUUCUUUAAAUAAUUCUGUUGUAUAUCUCAGGAAUGCCUGUGAUGCUCAGUCUGUGACAUUUGAGGAAAGCUUUUAGAAAUCUCACACACAAGCUUCACAGAUUUAUUCUAUCUAUUACCAUUGCGCAGGGUCUUAGUCACUCUGCAGCCCUCCCGUGAAGCUGGGCUUUAAUCCCUACCACUGAAAGAACCCCACUUCCUAAUUUUAAGAAGAAACAUGUUCAACUACUUCAGUUCAUCUUUAUUUCUCUUCAGUGAACAAAUGAGGGCACGAGCCAAAAUCUUUUGUCUCUAUCACAGCUAAUAUUAAUAGGUGAGCAGGAAAUAAUUUUGUCACAUUGCUCCUCUCUGGAAGAGCCAAAACUGCUUCUUGAAUGCGAGAGGCUUAGGCACAAAAUAGGCACUAGGCUGCUCUGCAGUGUUAAGACUGAUGUGCUUACCAGUAUGUUCAGAAGAUCUUUUUCUGGGUCUCUGGCGACUGUGACUUCAGAAACACAGCUACUUGUGAGCUCAGGCAGCUGGUAAGCAGAAGUGUUGGAGCUCUGGGCUCCUGCAGUGGCUGGACCCUUCUGAAGGCUGUUGGGAGACAGAGGGUGUUUGCCAGUGCAGGAAUUGGACUCACAAGUGAGCCUAGUCCUCCAAGCCCCGAUCGCUCUUCUCUCUGGCAGCCGAUUUGCCUGUGUCUUCCCAGGUCAUAGACCACUUGUGCCUGAGCUGGUUUCCAGACUGGCUGGCAUGAGGCACCCUGCCAGGAGGAUGGAGCCCUGUGCCUCGGAGAACUCCCAGCCUGACCUUUUGUACCGAGCCAGUUGCCAACAGCUGGGAAAGGGCCCAUCGUUAAAGCUUCUCUUAACAGUUUACUGGCCAAACUAGGUGUGUUCGGCUGGCAUACUGAACUGCAGGAUUGUCGUAGUCAUCUCCUCAGGAUUCCUACAGUUGCAGGGGGGUCCCCUUUGGGUUUUCUUGGGCUGGGUUCUUUGGGGGAUGGAAGUGGGUGAGCUUUGCCUCUCUGGCUUCCCACUGCUUGCCUAUUGCUGCUACAUGACAUGGCUGCGUUUGCCUGCUCCCACAUGAAUAUAAUACCAGAUUCGGGGCAGAGGCACAGGAGAGCAGCAGCGCUUUUAUUCUUUAAAGGCCAUUUGUAAAGAUAAAGGCCUCAACACUGGUUUACUCAGGCAGGUUUUUUUCCAGUGGUAUCCAAACAAGCCCAUUUAAAGAAUUACGACAUUUUCCCCAUAUUUCUUUUACAUGCCAUUUUUCACAGACCACAAGGCAGUAUUAACUGCCUGCCAUUGCAAUAGAUUCCAAAUAGAGUGGAGCACCUGAGUCUUAUGUAGUAAUGCUGAUGCUGAGUAGCUGCUGUGUUUUUACCUAGACAAGCUCCAUGUUGCUGCGAUUACCUUAUCUUGACUGCAGGACACUGCUUUUUUGUUCUUGUUGCAAGUAAAAAAAUAGCAAUUCAUACAGUAGCAUUAUUUCACUUUACUACCAAAGUGUUAUUUCUACUGGUGGACCAGCAGGCUAUGUUGGGCAAGCGUAUGUCAGGAUGCAAAGAUACUGUAGUCCCAGCACCUAGCACUAUACAGGCCCUUGUUACAGAGACGAUCCUUUGUCCUUCAGUGCAUUAAUGAGAAAUUCCCUUCCACUUUCAGCUCUGAUAAUGGCAACUACAACACUUGCUCUAGCAGCUGAUCUAGCUAAGGGAGCGGUUGUUUUGUGUGUUUCUUGGAGGCUAAUGCAGUGCUACUGCUAAAUCUUUACAGCUCUGUCAUGUUAAUGCCAAAAAAGAGAGAGUAUUUGAUUUUCUUAAAAACAACAAACAAACCAACCACAAACCUUGCUUUUUGUGGUCAGCCCCUCACAAAUGCCCUGGACUCUGUUCAGUCCUUUCUGUUGAAUAAUUUCAGCAUAAAGCCCAUGUAAAGUUUGCUCUAAAAUGGAUUCAGGCCAAACCUUUUGUUUGUUAGUAAAGAACAAGUUAUAGACAGUAGAUCUUUCUUUCUUGUUUAAUAUGUAUAAGCUCCUUUUACAAGCUCUAUCCAAAGAACAUGCAGUUAAUUACUCAAGGCAUCUUGUUAUUUGGAGCCACUGCUUGUAGGGGACGUGAAACUGCUUUUGAGAAAGCGCAAGCAGUUCUUUGUGACUGUUUUGGUCCCCAUCGUAGGGCCCAGCCGAGCACUGCGUGUUCCUCUGGUGCCGAGGGCAGACCCUCGCUGUGUGCCAUUCCCUCGGUGUGCCCGCGCAGGGGAGGAAGAGCUGACGUUAGGGAACCGCACCUGGGAACGGAAUCGAGCAGCAUGAGAGGAGAGUUUGGGCGGCUGCCGGGGCAACGGGAGUGGAGCUGCCUCCUCUGCUUUCCCAUCUGGCCAGUCCUUUCCACGCCAGAGUGGAGCUGGGCAGGGGUGCAGAGGUGGUCCCCGCUCUCGCGGUGACACUAGAUGCUUGUUUUUUCCAAAGCGGGUCACUGAUGUUUUCAGAUAAGUGCUGUGAGCUGGUGGUGAUGCAGAUCUGUCUUUCUGCGUAGCCGCCAGCGGAUGGGCAGCCCUUCUGCUUCCAGCAGAGCCUGGCCGUUCCUGAAAGGGCUGGCCCGUGGCUCUGCUGUGCCCCUUCUCCCAGCCCAGGGGAACAGCGGUGGCAUCGUGCACCUUUAAGGAACGGCCCCCGGCAUCGGGGAUCCCUGCGCCCUUCCUCAGGGUGCCCGGGAGGGGUGUGCUGGGGAAGCCUGAGCCUGGUAAGCAGGCAGAGGCGGCCCAAACAGGGGGAUGCCCUUCUGUUAGUCCUGUUCCUGCUCCCCGGAUACAGGCUGGGAACCUCCGUGCUGCGAGAGCACCGCAGGAGCUCCCCGGCCUCCCUCGUCCCCCGGCGCUGGGCGUGGGGAGCAGGGCAGAGCGCUUCUUCUUGCCCGCAGCCCACGGGUGCCAGCCUGCCGCCCGCUCCGCCGCUGCCGGGGCCGUGCGGGUGGCCGGCCGGCGUGUCCCGUGCGCCCUGGGCACCCGGGGCGGGAACUGCUCUUCCUCCCGUGCCACGCUGGCGUGCAAAGCGGAGGCUCGGUGUUAAUCCCCCGGGGAGCAGCGGUGGGAGCUGCCUGUUAGGGCCGUGGCACUGCAAUCAGGCCCGGGCGCUUAGCGAGGGAGCGUUGCGGCUCGGCUCUGGCGCCGCGGGAGCACGUGUUCUCCCGGGAAGCGAGCGGGGCCGAGCCCGGGCAUGAGCCGCGGCUUUGGGCGGAGGCACAAGCCGGAGGCCUGGCCCUCGGGGUUGCUGGCUUCCAUUCCCGGGCUGAGCAGGGCGCGGGCCAGUAGCCAGGGCAGGAGCCUGGAGUCCCUCCGAGGAGACUCCGCACAGCGCGGGACAGAGCCCCAGUGUCUGCGCUGCUGCCGGCCGUUGUGCCCGCCCUCGGACUACAGCUGCUCUUUCACCCCAGAAGGCAGGAAACAUCCCACGGCAGAGACGGUUGCCGCUCCGUAAAUAGCAAACCGAGUGACCUAAUUCAGCGCAGCGGCAGCUCCUCGGAGGCGUCCCUCGGCAGGCUCCAUGGCAGGCCGUGCUGGAGCUGACUCAUCACUUCCAGCGUGGCAGAGAUUGGAGCUUUCGGGCCCCAAGGAUUUCACUGUUUCUUUAUUAAUUUUAAAUUGAUUAAAAUGAGUUUUUAAAAUACCAGGAGAGACUUGCCUGAAGAAGUGCGUAUUAAAAAAAAAGAAGGAAGUGGUUGGUCUGUGGGAGUUAACUGUGUGCCUGACAGCCUCUCUGGCUCAUUGUGAGCACCCAUGGCAGCUUGGAAGAGUCUUAUGUCAGCUACUCUGUCCCGGUGGAUUAACAAAACCAGGAUUAAUCUGACAUUAUUAUAAAAAAGUGAGAAUUAUAGACUAUCCUUGCUAAUAGCCAGUGCAAACCCACCUCUGUCCUCAUCCAUGGCAGGAUGGUAUUACAGGCUUCUGCUCUCAGCUACAAGGCUCUGUCCAGAAGUCAGGAUCUCCUAGGGGAGAGCAUCCCAUUCUCUCCCAGCAUCGCCCAGUGCCUGACAAACCUCAUGUGGUCCAGAGGCUCCCUGGGGUAGCCUGUGGGGUGUCUUGUACCAGAACAGGCUGUCGGGUCCUCUGCUCAGCCUCCACGUAAGGGUGCCAUAGCAAGCGUAGGCAGUAACAGAUGGGUGGAGGAUCCUUUUUCCCGCUGUCAGAGGGCAGUUGCAAACGAGCUUUUCCCCUGGGCCAUUCUCACUUGCUGUUCUUGCCCCCGCUCUGCCGAGUGGAAGCUGCCUUACACUGUGAAGCAAGAGGAUUCCUGUUCCUCGUAAUUUCCAUCUGCUCCAACGUAACUGCCUAAGUCAACGUUAUGAAGACAUUUAAAGCUUUUCCCUCUGCCUUUCCCCUUUCACACUGAUGGGGAGGUGGGUGCCAUCUACCAUCCAGCCAGCACCCCAGGGUCACCCGCGGACCCACCCGCGCCGGCACCAGGAAGGACCCUUCCAUGCCAUGGUGGACUCCAGGGGUGUCGCAACCCCUUUCUUGGAGGCUAAGAAGCAGGGGCUGAGCCCUCUCCACACAGGGAGUUCUCCCUGAAGGCUCAUCCUGGGGACACCAUCCCUCCGCAUCCCACCCGCUGCUGUGGAGGGGGAAGGUCUCAAAAGCUGAACUGCUUUAAAUUCACAUGCCAAACCAGAACCUAAUUUUCCUGACUCUGCGCCUUGCACUCAGUUAUCAGCCUUGCCUGCAGUGCUGUAAGGCAGGUAUUGCUGUGGAAGAGCCUGGCUGAUGGGAGACACGUAGUUCCGAUUCACUCCCUGAGCAUCAAGUGGUGUCAGCUGGGAUGGCUGGAGAAGCCCCUCUCUUUCCCUCAUCCUCUAAGAUCAGGAUUACGAACCUUUCUGCAGCAAGAUUUGAAACAGCCAGAUUCUGACUUAGAUCACAGUCCCUAGGAUUCGCUUGUGAUUUCCGAGUACCGUGAGUUGCAAAGAAUGAUGGAAGCAGACAAUGUUAGUGCUGGUAACAGAAGCUGAAAUAUUGCCUGUCAUGGAAAAGAUGAACAGGCCAAUUCCACAUCACCUUUCUUUUCUGAGACCUCAGUGUGGCUCCACUGCACACCAGGAAAUGAUGCAGAGGUCAGGCUGGAGUGAGCAAGGAAGACUCUGUCCCCAAGUGAUUUUAUGGUCUUUGUAGAUGCCUGAAGUAACCAGAGCAAGUGGCUGGUGCCCGGAAUAUGCAAAUGCAGCAUCAAGAAGGUACUAGAAUCCCAAACUGGAUUUGCAGCUCAGACUUGACUUACGCUUUUCUUCUUUCUGCCUCUAAGCCACAAAUGAUUCAAAAUACAGCAGAGAGUAAGGCUGAGAACAACUAUGUAAAUGCUAACAGCCAAACCAAACAGAUGAAACCACACAGGGGCCUAUUCAGCCCAGAAGUAAUUGCCAAUAACUGGUUUAUUAACAGACAGCCACAGACUCUCCUGGAGAAACAGCACUCUUCAGGCAACUGUUCCAUAUAAUGCUGUAAUUUCCAUCAAUUAUUUACAUAAUUCUUUAGGCGUGCACAACUGUCUGUGACGCGUUAUGCUGAACAGAGGAAAAGGCCUGCUCCAGACUGAUCCCACACCACAAUCAGGGGCAGCACAACGUAGUAUGGAAGAAGUAAAGGUACCCAUCAUGAAGAAGAGCAUAUUAUGCUAAAGACCUGUCUGCUGGUCUGUACAAAUGUUCAUCUUGGAUUUUAACAUAUCUCAGUUAAGAAAAACACAGCUUGCACCGACAUUUAAUGGGUUCUGCCAUUGACUUGAAAGGGGUCAGGAUCAGGCUAACAACAACUGAUGUGAUUUAAUAACAUUCAUCGUUCCUAUUUGCACUUUAAAUGUGUUUCCACGUGGGUAACAGUUUCCAUUUGCUCUCAUUUGUUGGUCAUGUUAAUUUUUUUUCAUUAGUUUUUUGACUUAGUGCCUGUUAUUUUCCAUAUAGUAGACAAUGAAUACUGAAAAGAAAAAAAGAGCAAUUUUGUUAGGGUCAGGGAAGAGGAAAUUUCCAUGCUUUUUGUCACAUGAGACUUUAAGAAGAGCCUAAAGCUAAAUACUGCAGCUACUAUUCCCUGGUUCUCUUGAUAGUUAGUGGCCUUUAUAAAUGCAAAAAUCCUACUUAGACAUUCAAGUAACUCAUUUGCCCUUUUCUAUGCCCUUCUUCCCUCCAGCAGUCUGCAACCUGGAAUUUGUCUUCCAGGUCUUGCAGUCAAUGUCUUGCAGCUUGAAAUUCAAAAGGACUUGAAAUUCAAAUCACCAUUGCAUCUCAGUCUGAUUUGAAAUAAUUUGUGGUAAUUUAGAUGAGGUUUAAAACCAAGAAUAAUUUGGGUAACUGUCUUACUGUCUAGCACCACUAGCUUAAUAAAAUGGAAAAUGUACAGUCUACAGUGAAGGAAAGGUAUUUCUGAUAUUACUGUUUAUUUUAAAAUUUAAGAUGUUAACGCAGGAUCUUGAUACAAGAGUCAUCUGAAACGGAGUGCACUCUUAAAAUACUGAACUGGUAAACCCCAGCUCACAUACAUGAAAGUUGAAUUUUUAGUAACUCCUAAAUUUCUGAUCAAACUUGAAAAGAAACUAGUGAUAAUUUAAUUGCUUAUUGCUUGUCCAUUAUUGUGCCAGUAUGUUACUAUUUCUAAGACAGUAUCACACAGCCUGACCAAAAUUCAGGUCUCAGUAUUCAGCACACAGAAAAAAGCAGGCAGAGCCCUGUAAGCUUCCCUGUAUCUGCAGACAAGGCAGGAUGAUAGAUGGGACAGAAAAAAAAAAAAAAAGGCACAAAGAAGGAAAAAUAACUUGUACAAGGCCAUACUGCAGAUAAAUGCCAACUUAGGUGUAAGACUGAAGUUAAAAAACUAAUCCCCUGAAAUUUUCCUACUGACUUCCACAGAAACAAUUUCAAUCUGGCCUCCUGAUAAUUGGGUAAAUGCCUUAUCUGUUAGAUCACACUGCUUCCCCAGGCUACUUUUUAAUCUUCAACAAUAAUCACCUAAUGUUAUUAAGGCUAGGAAAUCUGAACCUAUGAACUCUAGAUACCAAAAAAUAGUCCAAUUCCCUUUGAGAAUUCCUAGAGCUUUCUUUUAAAAAACAUUGCGUUUUUAUUGUUAGCAUUAGGGACUUUCAAAUUUUUAAAUUUCUAUAUACACUUGUUAAUAUACAUCUUUAUACACACAUGCAUACAUCUCUAGAUGUGAGCGUGUGUGUGCCUGUGUAAACUCCAUUAAAUGUUUAGGGGUUUUAAUGUACAGCUUUUAUCCCUGUCUGAAUGUUACACAGAUUUAAGCAAUGACCAAUGGGAAGGAUCACCUUUUGCCCCUUCAAAACCGUAUAAACAAACAAACAGAACAUUUUCGUACCAUUUUCACUGGAUACAUACAUGCAGUCAGUGCUUCAGUCUUUAUAGCUUACACUCUAGAGGAGCUUCUUUUUUGUUCUUCUGUCACCUGUGACAGCACUUCUGCCCUCUCAGUCUCUGAGGCUGAGAGAUUUUGUGACAGAUACCCUUCUUAUGCAUGACUGGCGCGUGAUCCUUCAAUACCAAAAUACGCAAAUUCACCUGCAGUCCCCAAACAGUAGAACCACCAGUGUGGAAAGCUGCUAACAGCAUUGCUGCUGACACUCCGUCGAGGGAUCCUCCCGGUGAAAUGUGCAAUGGUAGCAAGUGAUGGAGAGAGUGCAGCGGAAUUACCCAAAACUCUCAAGGAGUCUGCUGCCCUCACCACCGCCUGCUACAUCUGUCCUGGCUAGAUCUCGAAAAACAGGAACACGUGCACACACACACAGAAACCGCGAGAGUCCCACACAGCUGACAUGCACAGAAACUCAAACAGGAGUCAGGUGGGAAUUUCUUUUAACUAACUGUGGCAGAUGUUUUUCUUGAAGGCAAAAAAGGAAUAUAUACAUGCUUGACACUUAAUAAAAAUAUCAGUAUGUUUGUGCCCAACAUACCAGAAUAUUGUUCAGCACUAAUUCAGCCUUGCAAAAACAUUAUCAGCGUAAUGCUGCCAAGGCCAUUGUGUGGAUUCUUUGUGUAUAUCUUGGCUAACCUGGCCAGGGGCUGUAGCAAUUUUUAUACUUGACUUUUCAGAAACCUUUCUGGUUUGUUAGCAAAUCAGUUUAUCUUGUUCAUUCUUGUUCCUCAUCCCUUCCCUAUUUUACCUUUUAUUAAUUUCCCUUUCUCCUUUGGUAGACCACACUAAAUGUCAGCCAAAUAGCCCAUUCCUCAUUACAUUUUAGGUGAUGUUAAAAAUAUUCAUAUAGACACAGCUCAUGAAUGGAUGGUUUAGCAACUUACUGUUUCAAUCCAGGAUUUAGAAUGUUAUAAUUUCAAAUGUUAAUUUAUUCUGAACAACAACAGUGACAAAUUAAUGGAUUCUAAAAUAGCAUCUUUGCUAUUUUAAAUUUCAGACCUAUCUAAAUUAGAAGACCAUGCUACUGUAUUAACACAUAUUUUCAUUCGUUAAGGUAACAAAGUGGUUGUAAAAAUGAGAAGAAAAUAACUUCUAAUUUUGGUUCACUGCACUGUCAGGAAAAACAUCUCUUCUUACAGCUUAGCAGCCAACUCUUCAGCAGCCUACUGGUAGCUGUUCAAUGUUGAAAAAGUGUUACCCUACCUGUUACGGGUCUGUGUACUUACAUGGUGGGAAAGAAUUUCAUCCCACUAUGUGUGUGUCAGUCUCCUUCCUAUAAUAAUUUUGAAAGAUCACUUACAAGGGUAGGUCUAGUAGAAUAACUUCUCCUCUGUUUUUCAGGCUCUCUUGCACUUUUAAGAUGGCACUUCCUGAGGGAGACUUUUUUGAUUUCACAUUUUACUGAGAUGAAAUGCCACACACAAAUCCGAUAGUCAAUCAAUAAGAACAUUCACAAAUACCUUAUAUCUUCAUAUAUAUCUUUAUAUAUGUAUAUGUAGAAUAUAUAUAAUUUAAAUGUACUAUUUUAAAGCAAAGAAAAUGUUAACUAUUACAGUUUGGGGGAGCUUCUGUCCCUUUUGCUCAUGAUAAACAGUCCCCCACAGACUCCCUUAUUUACUGAAAAGUGUUUGCUGGAUUGACUCACUCCUACAUUCUGGCAUCUUGCAUCUUUCCAUUGAUAUGCCUAUUAUUUAUCUGGGUGGGGUCACUGCUUUCAAAAUGUAUUUCUAUCUGGAAUGGUUUUAUCAUACAUUGUCCUGAAUGUAUUGGAUUAAUAUGCCCAAAUGCUUUCCAUUUGAAAACAGAGAAAUUAAAAAAAAUCCACAUAUAAAA